GUUUUAUGGGGUUUUGGAAGCAUACAGGGUCAAAUAUAGCACAUUCCCCCUUUCAGUUUAUAUACAUUGAAAUUUGCCAUAUUGGUUAUAUUGCCUUUGACAUUCAAAAGAGGGGAUAAAAAACAACGGACUACACGGGUAAGAAAUUCAAAGUGAGGUUAAGAGACACACUGGUGGAAAUGGGGUGGCAGAAAAACACAUCGUCACCUAUGUAGCAAAUAAUCCUGGCACCAUCCGGUGUGUGGAAUACGUUUAAAGAGAACUAGAGGGCUUGUGAUAGACCAGUGUC